rnacentral:lncRNA from 1 species
CCGCGAACUGAUGAUCAUGAAUAUCUUUCGAAGGUCUCUUGAAGCCGUAUAAGCGUCUAGCUUCUACGGGUAUCUAUAUGAGACUUUGAUCUAAUCAGAAGCAUCUUGAUCUCACUGGAAUGCUAGCUCCCUUGCAGAAAUUAUAUCUUGAUAGUUGAAAAUCUUCUUUUCUCUUAAGAUACUUUUACAAAAGAAGAAGAAAUAGGAGGAUGAUGAUCUCUACGCU